GCCCGUACCCUGACUUUGCUGAUGGGGUGUCGGAAGCAUUUGUUGUCGCCAGUCUCGCUGAGCGUUAUGGCGUAGAACUGUCCCUUGUUGAGAGACAAAACACAGCAGAUGGCAAAAGAGAUGAGGCCAGACCAAAGGUCACUGCUAACACAAUGUGUCCUGACUGGAAAAGCACAGAAUGGGCAUUGCCAGGAAAGGGAAACCAGCAAUAUUAGAAGAUUUCAUGGAGACUGUGAACUUUGCUCUGACCCUUGAAAGCCAAAGAGAACCUUUUACUGAAGAAAUUAAAAGAAAGUAAUGGGGUGAGAGAGGACCACCAUGAUUCAAGACAAAAUGAUAGGUACAAAUGUGGUACAUAGAUGGAGUCAAGGAUAUAGGCCUUCCCUGGUUAUGAAGGAAGGACCUGAAAGUCUACAGUAGCCACUAGCCAAACGUGCUGAAGUUGAUUAGAAUUAAAUAAAGUUAAACAUUCAGUUCCUCAGUCAACCAGCCACCUUUCAAAUAUUACACUGACACAUGAAAGUAGUGGCUAUCAUCUGGGACAGCAUAAAAGACAAUUUCCUUCAUUGCAGAAAGUUCUAUUGGACAGGACGAAUUUAUGAAAAGGUAUUUAUAUUUAGUUUAGUUAAGAAUUAGGAAAAUUUGGAGUAUGAGGAUAGCAUGAUGAAAAAGAUAUUUAAGGAAGCAUUUUAGAGAUAGAGGGGAUGUAUUUCCAAAGUCUUUGAAGGAAUAUGUAAUAACCUGCAACAACACAGGGUGAACCAGAAUUAAUAAACACGGCCUUGAAUAAA